AGCAGCCGCGGUAAUUCCAGCUCCAAUAGCGUAUAUUAAAGUUGUUGCAGUUAAAAAGCUCGUAGUUGAAUUUCGGGGUUAGUAGAUUGGUCAUGCCAUCGGUAUGUACUGGUCUCACUGAUUCCUCCUUCCUGAUGAGCCAUAAUGCCAUUAAUUUGGUGUUGCGGGGAAUUUGGACUGUUACUUUGAAAAAAUUAGAGUGUUUAAAGCAGGCAUUUUUGCUUGAAUACAUUAGCAUGGAAUAAUAAAAUAGGACGGCAUGGUUCUAUUUUGUUGGUUUCUAGGACCACCGUAAUGAUUAAUAGGGAUAGUUGGGGGCAUUAGUAUUCAAUUGUCAGAGGUGAAAUUCUUGGAUUUAUUGAAGACUAACUACUGCGAAAGCAUUUGCCAAGGAUGUUUUCAUUAAUCAAGAACGAAAGUUAGGGGAUCGAAGACGAUCAGAUACCGUCGUAGUCUUAACCAUAAACUAUGCCGACUAGGAAUCAGACGAUGUUAAUUUUUUAAUGACUCGUUUGGCACC
rnacentral:misc_RNA from 1 species